rnacentral:rRNA from 1 species
CCGCCNCUGGGCAGAUGCGGAAAGGGAGAAAUCCCGGUACAGGAUGGACCCGCGUCUGAUUAGCCAGUUGGCAGGGUAACGGCCUACCAAAGCGACGAUCAGUAGCCGGCCUGAGAGGGUGGACGGCCACAUUGGGACUGAGACACGGCCCAGACUCCUACGGAAGGCAGCAG